GUACCAUGUUUUGGAGCAAAUAAAUAUAUUUCUAUUUCUAUUUCUAUUUCAAUAAAUUCGUCUUGUUUACCUAAAGUUUGCGAAUAGACAUAACACAACACAGUCGUUACAAGUAUCAACUUUCUGAACAUUUUCUUGUUGGAGAACAUUUUGUAAAUGACUUGUUGAUCUUGAAACUAUGAGACCCAGUCUUUGUUUUAAGAGCCGUACAUGUUUCGAAGUUAAUGUUUGCUUUUGAGCAGUUCAAGUGUAUAAUUUUAUUAUAACUUUCUUGAGACAUGCUAAAUUAAUUAUCAUGUUACCGGCUUAUUCACGUAACUGUUUGACGAGGAACUCGACUAAUUUCAAGCCAUGCUAGAGGCUCAUAUUUAUAUUGAGCAGCAUUCCGCGACACACGACGCGGCGAUUGUCGCACUGUGAGUAAGCGGAUUACAUAAUAGUUAAUUCAAAUGUAGGUAUAUAAGUAAUUGAAAUCAAAACUAACGAUUGUUUUUAAAAAGAAUAAAAAGGUCAUUUUAACAUGUGAAAUGUAUAAACUACACACUACUAACUUAUUUCAAAUAAUAUAAUUAUUUAAUGUCGACACCAGCAAUUUAUACUGCGCUAACUCAAAAAGCGUACUUUACAGUAGAGGCGUUUAAAGGGAAAAACGUGAUAACUUUUACAUUAAUUAAGAUACUUUUUUGAAAUUUGGUACGCUUAAUAUUUAAUUUAUUCAUUGUAAUAUCUCAUAUUUAUAUUUUCUUAAUUAUUUCUAUUUUUUGAUUUAGCGCAAGUUAGCCGUAUAUAAACGUAAUUCAUCAAAAAAAAAUUACAUCUUAUACACGUCUAACUUAUGUUAGCGUAGUGUAGUACGGGAGGUCGUAGUGCAUGAUCAAUCAUCUGAUGCAUAUUUCAAUAUUUUUAUAAAGAACAUGUACUUAC